GGAGGUGUACUUUAAGAAGAAGACUUGGUUUGCAUCUAAGCAGUAGAAUUUAUUCUCAUCUCCA
rnacentral:tRNA from 1 species